rnacentral:rRNA from 1 species
GGGGCGAGCGUUAUCGGAAUAAUUGUGCGGAAAGCGCAUGCAGGUGGUUCUUUAUAUCAGAUGUGAAAACCCGGGGGCUCCCCCUCGGAACUGCAUUUGAAACUGGUGAACUACAGUGCUGUAGAGGGGGGGGAAUUUCUUGUGUAGCGGUGAAAUGCGUAAAGAUCUGAAAGAAUACCAUUGGCGAAGGCGGCCCCCUGGACGAACACUGACCCUCCUAUGCUAAAACGUGGGGAGGAAACAAGAUUAGAUACCCUGGUAGUCCACCCCGCCCACGACGUCUACUUGGAGGUUGUGGCCUUGACCCGUGGCUUUCGGACCCAACGCCUUAAAUACACCGCCUGGGGAG